CGAGGCAUAUAGAGGUUCCCAGGCUAGGGGUCAAAUCAGAGCUGUAGCUGCCAGCCUACACCACAGCCACAGCAAUGUGGGAUCCCAGCUGCGUCUGCAACCUACACCACAGUUCACAGCAACACUGGAUCCUUAACCCACUGAGCAAGGCCAGGGAUCAAACCUUCAUCCUCAUGGAUACUAGUCAGGUUUGUUUCCACUGAGCCACAAUGGGAACUCCUGAAAUUCAAAUGGUUUCUCUUUGGCCAGAGGAAACCUGUUCAGGUUGGCCAGGGGCGGGGAGGGGGGGGUCCUUCUUAAUGAUGGGGGCCUCCCUUCUCUCCUCUAACCUGAAGAGAAAUCCUACUUUCCCCUCCCUUUGCUCCUGGGACUCUUGAGCACAAAGUUAAAAACAUCCCUUCCCUGUAGCUCUAGUUCUGCCUCUGGCUGUGAGCUUUCUCAACGACAUGUGUCUGUGUAUCUCAAGAAUGCAUCUUCCUCUUGCCAGAAGUAUCUGGAUUCACUUGCUAAAAAGUCAAGGUCAACCGUCAGGGCUAAGAGGACCCUAAGAAGACAGGACAGCUACAUGUCACAUGAUGUCCUAGAUGGGAUCCUGGAACAGAAAAAGGACGUUAGGUAAAAGCUAAGGAAAUUGGAACAAAGCAUGGCUACUAAGAGUGAAACAAUCAUUAAUUGUUACAAACGUACCGUACUAAAAGGUGUUAGAGGUUAAUAAUAAAGGAAACUGGUAUGGGUUAUAUGGGAACGCCCUGCAUUAUCUUUGCAAUUUUUCUGUAACUCUAAAACUGCUCUAAAAUCAAAAGUUUGUUUAAAAAAGAAGAAGAAACUCAUUGACUUGGAGAACAGACUUGUUGCCAAGGAGGAGAGGGAGGGAGUGGGAUGGACUGGGAGUUUGGUGUUAGCAGUUGCAAACUAUUGGGUUUGCAGUGGAUAAGCAAUGAGAUCCUGCUGUAUAGCCCUAGGAACUAUAUCUAGUCACUUGGGAUGGAGCAUGGUGGAGGAUAAUGUGAGAAAGAGAGAGAGAGUAUGUGUGUGUAUGUGUAUUUAAAGGGUAAUUCCAAAGAACACAAAGAAUGGAAAGGUAGAGGAAUAGUGGGGGAAAAAAAGGAACAGCCAAGUUUUGGAAGCUGAGGGUAGUUUGUUGGAUGAGGGGAAAAUGCUUCAAUGGAGCAGAAAAAUGCAACCCUCGGUGUUGCUGAGCAGACUCCAACAAAGGAUCAAGGAAGGAAAUCAAGAAAGGGUUGAGACAUGGGACCCAGGAAACAGGUACUAAUAUAGGGACAGUAGGUGAGAGGAGACCCCAGGGAGAGUGCCACGUAGCACACGUGAGAGCCACCAGCAUGGGCAGGCAUAGGAGGAGAGGGCUCUGGGGAAAACUCCUGGAGUUUAGGAAAAAAGAAACAGCAGCAGCAUUUAUUAACUCUAGGAAAUACUGUUUUAAGUAUUAAGAAAUGACUGUAUUGUUCUACGAGCCUCAGUUGUGAAGGAUAUUGGCAGUCAUGUAGGAGAAAUGCUGAAUAUCUAUUUAAUUUCAAAAAAUGCUAUAGUUGGAGUUCCUCUUGUGGUGCAGGGGAAAUGAAUCUGACUAGGAACCAUGAGGUUGUGGGUUCAAUCCCUGUCCUCACUUACUGGGUUAAGGAUCCCGAGUGGCUGUGACUGUGGUGUAGGCCAGCAACUAUAGCUCCGAUUCAACCCCUAGCCUGGGAACUUCAAUAUGCCAUGGAUGUGGCCCUGAAAAGCAAAAUAAUAAUAAUAGUAAUAAUAAGGAGUUCCCUGGUGGUCUAGUGGUUAGGAUUUGGCACUUUCGCUGUUAUGGUCUGGGUCCGAUCCCUGGUCUGGGAACUGAACUAAGAUGCCACAUUAAGCUGUUGCUUACUGCAGCCAAAAAAUAGUGAUGAUCUGUGGUUCCCAGGAACAUGCAUAGGAUAUGUGUGGUAUACAUACAUAGCAGUCAUUUAAUAAAACUCGAUUGCAAGUUCCUUCAAAAAAAAAAUAAUGAUGAUGAUGAUUGUUAAAUAAAAAGACAGUAGGGGAGUUCCCGUCGUGGUGCAGUGGAAACAAAUCCGACUAGGAACCAUGAAGUUGCAGGUUCGAUCCCUGGCCUUGCUAAAUGGGUUGAGGAUCUGGCAUAGCCAUGAGCUGUGGUGUGGGUCACAGAUGCAGCUCGGAUCCCACAUUGCUGUGGCUGUGGCGUAGGCCGGUAGCAACAGCUCCGAUUAGACCCCUAGCCUGGGAACCUCCAUAUACUGUGGGUUAGAGACAAAAGACAAAAGACAAAAAAAAAAAAAAAAAGACAGAGAGAGGCCUCGGGAGAAACCAGCCCAGCCAACACCUUCAUCUCAGACUUCUAGCUUCCAGAACUGGGAGACCAUAACUGCAUUAUGUAAGCCACUCUUCUGCCGUCUUUGGUUCUGGCAGCGCGAGCAGCCUGAUACACUUGGGCUCAGCUGUGGAAGUGGAUGGUCAUGCUGCACUUGGCCUGGGGAAUGGGUUGAUACGGGCCAUGGCCUUGAAUGCAAUGCUGAUUCUUAAAAGAACGUUUUAAAAGUGUUCUUUCGCUUGCUGGAGCCUCAGAUCAGCUAAGUCUGGCUGCAAAGGGUGACAUUUUCUAUCAGCACAGCAAAGGCUCCUUGGAGUGUGGUUUUCCCACUUGUUGCCGUGACAGGGGUGGGCCCCUCCACCUGGACUUCUUAUGUCCUCUCUCAGUAACCAAGCAUCCUUCAGUCCCUUUGGAGAAACGGUUUGCUUUUGCCUUUUGGGCUUUACUCUUUGGAAGCCACAGGAACUCAGUGUCCAAGAGGAUUUCGUGGAAGGCAAGCUGCCUUGUGGUUGUUUUUUGGCAAAUACCGAAGUUAUCUCAUUUUUUGUACUAAGACACAAGAAGUGUUCUUCUGAGUGAACCGCUGCAGGUCCCUGUAAAAAUGUCAUGAUCUUGCAAGUGUGUUUCCCUGGUAGUACAAACCCUGAUACUGAAGAAAAGAAUUCCUGAGAACGUCAUGUGAGGUUCAGCCAUAUUAUGGAAAUAGGACCACUUUCAUGGGUCCGAACACUGGAAACUAAAACGAUGAGAAAUUUUCCCCAACUCAAGCAAUAAAAUAAUUUUUUAUGCUUCAUGGAUUUUUUGGCAGUUUGCUUGCAAUUGCUUAUAGACUAUCUACUUGUUCUAGUUCAAUUUGUCUUCUCUGGAUGAAUCUGUGUGUGCAUAUUGUUCUUAAUCUUAACCCUUAUUAUAAUGUCUCCAAAUUCCAGUGGAGAUGGAGUUACUCUUCCAAACUGCUUGCUCUUGUAUCAAGAGGUGGAGGUGUUGUCCUGGGAAUCUUGUCAGGACUGAAGAUUCUCUAGAAGAGGUGGACUAGCUUCUGUUUGUCCUCUUGUCCAUUCAAGCUCAUGUGCUGGGGGCAUGAAGAGAAAAACAGACCAAGGACAUUGGAGCAUCAAUGGCUUUUAGUUUUGUGGAUCUGUUGAAACUUACAGCUAUGGCCAGUUUUGUGCUGCUUAUUUUAUUAUUAUUUAUUCUUUUAUUAUCCUGGAUUUGAGGGCUUUACACUUUCCACUAACCCAGUAUAUUUGUCUGUGUGCAUUAAUGGCCUAAGUUUGCUGUGCCCAGAGCAGCCCUCCUCGUUGCUGGGAGGUCCCCCCCCUCCCCGCUAACCUUUUACAGCUGCUCUCACAGCAGCAAAAAGUAUAUGUAAGAGGGCAGCUGUUUUGCAAGUGCUGUCUUGGUGUUUCUUCAUUUUUCUUGAUAACUCUCUUGUGCUGUCAUAACAACUGGAGCCCAGUGGUUGUGUAAGGCAGACUGUGGGCCUUUAUUUGCAGAACACAGAACUUCAGUGAAGGAUAGUGGUGUCUGCCCUUCACCUCAGGAGGUCUUACAGGAGGACAGAGUAACUAGCAGCUGUAGCUCACCGAUUUACAACAAAAAGACCAUUUCUGGCAAUAUUCACUGAAAGAAAUAAAUGUUUCAGAGCUUCGUCUGUAUAAUAGAAGCAAAAUUCAGUUCUCUAAAAAUCUGAACUUUGUCUUCUAUGUACUUGCUUUCUUCAUUUUCACAGUGAGUUACUUUGUCAUGUUUGUUUCGCCACAAUUCUAAGAUCCUGACCACAGCCAUCUAAAGGAUCAGCUUGCUUUACAAAUCUCAAGGAAUUCAGUUGAUGUUGUCUGAACUACCCAAGAAGCAAGAUGCAAAUGUUCUCAAGGUGUGCUUUCACCUCUUUGUUAAAUGCCAUACUGUAUAAUGAAAAUACAUUCAAGAAAUUAUUAAAGUAAAAAUUCGUAUGUCCUCUGGUAACAUGCUAAAAUAUGCUGUCUGUAAUAUGUAUGGUCUAUAUUUUAGGAGGAGUUUUAUGGAAUACUGAAAAUGAACAUCCCAGAAGAACAGUUUUAAGCAUAUUCAUGCAAAUAUGAUAGAGCUUAGAAGGGAAUUCUUGAGGCAAAAUAUCUGAUUCACUGAUACACUUAUUCUGUGUAUACUGUACUGUCUUCGUAGAAACUUUCACAGCACUGCAUGGUUGGGGUCAUAGAUCUGUGACAACCUAUGACAAGUCAUGUAUUACAUAGUUUAAAGUAUUGUACUGCUGUAAAUUCGGUUUGAUAAAGCUUUGCCCAAUUUAGAGGCUAAAAAGAAAUCUUCACUUUUCAAUUAAGCAAUUGCCAUGGUAAAAUGGCAUAAAACAAUUAUUUUCAUCUAAAAAUAUACUAUAGCCAUAAUUCAAGUAGGCUCAAGUAGGCUUUUAAAAAUGCUAUGCUUUUGUCUAAUUAGCGAUUGGGUUAGAGAUUUAAUGAUUUCCCUGGGAACGUUGUUCUAAUGCUCAGUAUAGAAGGUUACAUUUCAUACCUCUGUCUGCCACAGACACAAACGCGUGCCUUCUGCCUCACAUACCUUUGCUUCCUGUGUCACUUACCCUUCGAGGCCAAUUUCUAGAACUUUCCACUAGGGCGGAAUGGACCUCCUCUUCCCUGAACAUCAGCAGCCUGUCCCCCACCCCUCUGUGUGAGGCUCCCUAACCCCUUUAGAAAAGAGAAACUGAAGCCUCUACUUUGCAAAUCUUCACAAUUGCCAUUUGCAAAACAACACACCCCCUGGGCGACUGAGCCAACAGACUGAAGUCAAACAUUUGUUUGAAAUCACCAAGUCAAACACAAGCAAUACUUGAAAUGAAGAGAAGCCUUACAAGGCAGCAGUGCAGAAUGUCAAAGACUAAACAUUUCUUUCUCACAAAGCCUAACUAUAGAGGUUAGCUCCCCAGGUGACCCUCAGGGGCGGGGCUAACCUGUCCGGGCUACUUUCGCUACUCCAGGACUUGUGUGUUUGAUGCCUGUGGCAUAAACGCAUCUGAAAUGCCUAAUUAAUGCCAAAGACCCCAA
rnacentral:lncRNA from 1 species